rnacentral:ncRNA from 1 species
CUAAUACCAUACAUAGCCGAAAGUUAGACGAACCGAAAAGACCCCCACCGGCGAAAGCACUCGGCUGGGCCGACACUGACACGGAGAGACGAAAGCUAGGGGAGCAAAUGGGAUUAGAGCUCCCAGUAGUCCUAGCCGUAAACGAUGGAUACUAGGUGCUGUGCGACUCGACCCGUGCAGUGCUGUAGCUAACGCGUUAAGUAUCCCGCCUGGGGAGUACGUUCGCAAGAAUGAAACUCAAAGGAAUUGACGGGGGCC